rnacentral:rRNA from 1 species
GACGAACGCUGGCGGCGUGCUUAACACAUGCAAGUCGAGCGGUAAGGCCCGUUUCGGGGGUACACGAGCGGCGAACGGGUGAGUAACACGUGGGUGACCUGCCCUCAGCUCUGGGAUAAGCCUGGGAAACCGGGUCUAAUACCGGAUAUGACUCCAUGACGCAUGUUGUGGGGUGGAAAGCCUUGUGCGGCUGAGGAUGGGCCCGCGGCCUAUCAGCUUGUUGGUGGGGUGAGGCCUACCAAGGCGACGACGGGUAGCCGGCCUGAGAGGGCGACCGGCCACACUGGGACUGAGACACGGCCCAGACUCCGUACGGGAGGC